rnacentral:lncRNA from 1 species
GCUGGCUGCUCACACAGUAAGGAAGAACUAUGCUUUCAGUCCAAGGAAGCGUCCACAUCUGUGACACUAACCUUUGCAGAUGACACUCACAUUUGCAGACAGGGUCCAGAAUCCAGGAGACCCACCUGUAGCUGCUUUGUCCUCCUCUCGCCUUCAUAAGGAGCUGAAACCAGGACAUGCGGAGCAGCUGAACAUCUGGAGAGGAGGGCAGGAUGUGACCCUGUAA